CGCGCUUACCCGUCGGGCGAGUACUCGAGGUUGAAGACUGCCCCGUGGGUGCGGGUGCUGAGGUACACCGAAUCCGCGGGAUGGAUGGAACCAUAGAGGAUGGAGAGGCUGAGGCAGUUGUGGAAGAUACAGCAGACAGGACCCUGCAUGCCAUUGGAAAAGGACUGACGAGGGAGGCCGUGAGAGUUCAGAGGAGGAAGAGUCCCUCAUAAGUGAAGGCGGGGGACACAGGUUCGAUCCCUGGUCGUGAAAGAACCCACGGGCCUCAGGGCAGCUAAGCCUGUGAACUACAACUACUGAAGCCUGUGCGCUAGAGCCCCUGUUCCACACGAGAAGCCGCUGCAGUGAGAAGCCUGCGUACGUAGCCCAACUGGAGAAAGUCUGCAUGCACAACACAAAACCCAGCACAGCCAGAAACAAAUAAAUAAGACAUUUUAAAUAAAUAAAUAAAAAGUAUCCUCAAGAAAUAAUUCUGGGAUGUUCAAAAAGACACCUGUAUAAACACCUGUUACAAGUCACAAAUAUCCAAGAUUGGGAGAUUGCUGAAAUAAAUUAAAACAUCUCUAUUAUACAGUGCUACAUCAUGCAGCCAUUAAACAUGAUGUGUUAACCUAGAAAAAUGUUCAUGUUAACAUGAUCUCAUUUAAAAAAUUACAUGUAUACUUAUUUUUAAAAAAUAGGGAAGGAGAAGUGCUACGAGUGGCUGACUUUGGUGGAAUUUUUAUUUUUGAAAUUUUUGCUUAUUUUUCUAAUUUUUCAGUACCUAAUUGCAGGAAGGAACAAGGUACCGCUCACACUUAUUGAAGCAUCUGGCACAUAUCUCAUGGUUCUAUCUCCACACCAUAUUUCAGCGCUAAAGGGAACUACGGAACACACCUCAGGCACAGUGGGCAGAGAACUGAGUGACAGACUCUCAGACUUAGAAGGCUGUGCCUAGGACGAGAGGGAAAAGUGCAUGUUCUCCUGCCUGGGAACGCCGAAGGAAGGGCUCGCCCCCAGCGGGGACCUGGGCGGACCGCAGCAAGCAGCCCCAGGGGUUACCCUCCAGCCAGCAAAGGUCUGCGCUGGCUGUGGCUCUCUGCAGGAGGCGAGCGUCUCUCCUUCUUUUCCAUCUCCUCCAUGAGCUCUCAAAUGUCAAAAGGCAGGUCCUUUUCGUAGGGAACGGGGUAACGGCUGAUGGGUUUGCACUUCUCUUCCUGCUGCUGAGACUCAUAAAGGCGCAAGUUCAGGGUCACCAGAGGCAACUUUUUCCAAAACCUGUUGGUCACAAGGCGAAGAGGAGACUGAAAGGAAGCAAAGGCAGGAUUGGAGUGGGCCACCAAAGGCAUGGCUUGGAUAGCUUGUUUGUGUAUCUGGACUUAAAGAAAAGACGGUGCCUUCUGGGUCAAUUCCCAUUAAUCACAAGCAAUUCUUGAGCAAUUAUGAAAAGGACUCUGAGCUCAACAAGAAAUAAUGCUGUAAUCCAUUGAUAAUGUCUGACAUGAGAAGAGGAUAUUGAGGGCAUGAUGGUCCAAAUAACAUAUAUACAAUGCUUGCCUUAAAGCCCAGCUCAGAUACCACCUAAGAACAAUAAAACCUCCUGGGGUUCUUCAACGCCAUGAAGAUUUCUCUGAAGCCUUUUAAGGCUACCAAAUGAUGGCCAGGAUUUAUAUAUAUCAUCUGCUGUCAAUAGCAAUGAUAAUAACUGUCAUAUAAUGAGCACCUAGUAGGUGUCAGGUCUUCUGCACACACUCCCCAAAACUCCCAGCAAUCCUGUACUUUACAGAUAUGAAAUCUAAGGAUCAGAUGGAUUAGGUCACACAGAGAUAAAAUUCAGGUCCAUCUGACUCCAAAGUCUUCAUUAUUCCCACUUUACAAUCCUGUCUCUUAAAAAAGAAUCUAACUAACAAAUAUAGAAAACUAACAAUUUUACAUUUAUUCUAAAUGAAAACUGUGAAAAACCAACAUAAAUCGAAAAGGGCAACCUCAUUUUUUUUACAUUAAAAAAAUUAUAGUUGAUUUACAAUGUUGGGAUAAUUACAGCUGAACAGCAACGUGAUUCAGUUAUACACACAUACAUGUAUAGAUACAUACAUACACACAUACAUAUAUGUAUAUAUACAUACUCUAUUUUUAAUGUUCUUUUCCAUUAUGGUUUAUCAUAAGAUACUGAAUAUAGUUCUCUGUACUAUACAGUAGGACCUUGUUGUUUAUCCUUUCUAUAUAUAAAAGUCUGUAUCUACUAACUGCAGCUUCCCACUGCAUCCCUCCCUCAAUCCCCUUUCCCAUGGCAACCUGUUCUCUAUGUCCAUGAUUCUGUUUCCAGAUGGGUUCAUUUGUGUCAUGUUUUAGAUUCCCCUCUAAGUGAUAUCAUACGGUAU